AACGCACCUUGCGCUCCUUGGCAUUCCGAGGAGCAUGCCUGUUUGAGUGUCAUUAAAUUCUCAACUCCCAUUUCUUGAUUGGAAGUGGUUGGGUUGGAUUCUGGAAGCUGCUGGCUGUUCUUGGUCAGCUCUUCUGAAAUGGAUUAGCAGGGUUAACUCCAUGUGUGUAACUGCAGCUUGGUAUUGAUAGUUGUCUUACCAGGCUGGCGGGUGACCCCAUGGUAUGUGUCUGCUUAUAGCUGUCUCAAUGAGACAAGUGAUUUGACAACUUGACCUCAAAUCAGGUAGGACUACCCGCUGAACUUAA
rnacentral:misc_RNA from 1 species